rnacentral:rRNA from 1 species
GUCGAGCGGUAAGGCCCUUCGGGGUACACGAGCGGCGAACGGGUGAGUAACACGUGAGCAACCUGCCCCUGACUCCGGGAUAAGCGGUGGAAACGCCGUCUAAUACCGGAUAUGACCUGUCACCUCAUGGUGGCGGGUGGAAAGUUUUAUCGGUCAGGGAUGGGCUCGCGGCCUAUCAGCUUGUUGGUGGGGUAACGGCCUACCAAGGCGAUUACGGGUAGCCGGCCUGAGAGGGCGACCGGCCACACUGGGACUGAGACACGGCCCAGACUCCUGCGGGAGGCAGCAGUGGGGAAUAUUGCACAAUGGGCGAAAGCCUGAUGCAGCGACGCCGCGUGGGGGAUGACGGCCUUCGGGUUGUAAACCUCUUUUACCACCAACGCAGGCUCCGGGUUCUCUCGGGGUUGACGGUAGGUGGGGAAUAAGGACCGGCUAACUACGUGCCAGCAGCCGCGGUAAUACGUAGGGUCCGAGCGUUGUCCGGAAUUAUUGGGCGUAAAGAGCUCGUAGGCGGCAUGUCGCGUCUGCUGUGAAAGACCGGGGCUUAACUCCGGUUCUGCAGUGGAUACGGGCAUGCUAGAGGUAGGUAGGGGAAACUGGAAUUCCUGGUGUAGCGGUGAAAUGCGCAGAUAUCAGGAGGAACACCGGUGGCGAAGGCGGGUUUCUGGGCCUUACCUGACGCUGAGGAGCGAAAGCAUGGGGAGCGAACAGGAUUAGAUACCCUGGUAGUCCAUGCCGUAAACGUUGGGCGCUAGGUGUGGGGACUUUCCACGGUUUCCGCGCCGUAGCUAACGCAUUAAGCGCCCCGCCUGGGGAGUACGGCCGCAAGGCUAAAACUCAAAGGAAUUGACGGGGGCCCGCACAAGCGGCGGAGCAUGUUGCUUAAUUCGACGCAACGCGAAGAACCUUACCAAGGUUUGACAUCACCCGUGGACCUGUAGAGAUACAGGGUCAUUUAGUUGGUGGGUGACAGGUGGUGCAUGGCUGUCGUCAGCUCGUGUCGUGAGAUGUUGGGUUAAGUCCCGCAACGAGCGCAACCCUUUGUUCUAUGUUGCCAGCACGUCAUGGUUGGGGACUCAUAAGGAGAC